GGGGAAUAUUGCACAAUGGGGGGAACCCUGAUGCAGCCAUGCCGCGUGAAUGAAGAAGGCCUUCGGGUUGUAAAGUUCUUUCGGUAGCGAGGAAGGCAUUUAGUUUAAUAGACUAGGUGAUUGACGUUAACUACAGAAGAAGCACCGGCUAACUCCGUGCCAGCAGCCGCGGUAAUACGGGGGGUGCGAGCGUUAAUCGGAAUAACUGGGCGUAAAGGGCACGCAGGCGGUGACUUAAGUGAGAUGUGAAAGCCCCGGGCUUAACCUGGGAAUUGCAUUUCAUACUGGGUCGCUAGAGUACUUUAGGGAGGGGUAGAAUUCCACGUGUAGCGGUGAAAUGCGUAGAGAUGUGGAGGAAUACCGAAGGCGAAGGCAGCCCCUUGGGAAUGUACUGACGCUCAUGUGCGAAAGCGUGGGGAGCAAACAGGAUUAGAUACCCUGGUAGUCCACGCUGUAAACGAUGUCGAUUUGGGGGUUGGGCUUUAAGCUUGGCGCCCGUAGCUAACGUGAUAAAUCGACCGCCUGGGGAGUACGGCCGCAAGGUUA
rnacentral:rRNA from 1 species